GAAAGAAACAAAGUGGAGAAG
rnacentral:sRNA from 1 species